CCCGCCCAUCCGUCACCUGACUCGGACGACUACCGGGAUCCGCGGCGCUCCGCCUGCCGGUCGGGGUGCUUCUCGUGUUCCUGCUCCCGUCCCCCGUCCUUAUUCUUCACGCCCUUUGACGGGAGUCUUCCAGGUCUCCACGUAAGAUUAUUUAAAAGAGAAAAAGAAAGAAAGAAGAGCAAGGCCCUCUCUUUGCUCCAUCGGCCAAUCAGGAGCUGGACGUCAGUUUUGAAUGAAAAUGCCGCUUCGCUUCGCUUCUAGAUUUGGGAAACAGGCGAUAUGAAAAGAAACCGGUGUCCGCAACCGACGCGACAUCUGGACACUGCAAGGCGCUGGCGCGGUUGACGCUGCAGGCCGGGCGCCCGACCAGGUGAGAAGACUGAGGCCCAGAAAGACUCAAAUAUUGGACACUACAUGGCUAGCAGGGGAUCGAACUUGGGUCUUUGUGCUUGCAAGGCAGGUGGCGGCACCACUGAGCUAAAUCCCGGCAAGUCUACAUUAUAUAUUGUCAGUAUAAAAUAAAAAAGAGGUGGAAUACUUUUUGUACAUAUGUUCUACCUGUUCUGAAACCUCACAUCACUUUACAAGCUUACAAGGAAAUUCUUGGGAAGUAAAAUAUUAUUCAAGGAACUAAACCCUACAGGUAUAAAUUGACCUACUUGUUCAUGCAGGACUGAUGAAUGAUUCUCUAUAGCCCCUUUGUAGUUUUUCUAAAAUUAGUUGUUAGUACUAACUGCAAACUUAGCAGUUACUGAUAAGAGUAUAGGAUUCUUUAUUUCCAAUAUAGUGUCAAUGUAUUUGAAAAUCUCACAAUGGAGAGAAUUCCAUAAGAUGUUUAGGACUGUAGCUUCAGAAAAUGCCCAGUUUAUUGUCUGAAUUAUGCCCUAAUUUUAUUUCCUAAUGUUCUAUAAAUGCAAUAUACCCAUAAAACCAACUUUGAGAAAAAACUA